GUAGGCUUCAGGGAAGAAAUCAGAAGGACUAUGACGAAUCGAUCGAGGGAAAGAGAGACGGAACCAGCACUCGUCCGUCCACCAGCUCUCGCGGAUUUCAAUCGGCUCCGCGAGCGGACCAGGAGACGUCGAAACGAUUUGCUAUUCUUGCUACACCUUCGUACAGCGUGUGGUCAUUAAGGGAAGAGAAAGGGUCAUUAAGCGAGGGGUAAUGAAUGCAGAACAGAAGGAUUGAUUCCUGGUGGCGGAAGGGCGACUAACGCGCCUUGGUCAGAAAUUGUCCUCUCACUUCCGCCGCCACGGCUAGUUUGCUCGCGCCACGGGAAGGAUCCACGUUAAGCCCACGCCAGCUGGACGGUAAUGACGACGACAUUAGGGGAUCACCGGGUUUAUUAGACGCCGUACCACAAGCCUGUACGAGUAAAUUGAAUAAUUUUUGCCCCCGAGCUCUCUGCACGUGCGGAUCUGCGCUCUAUGCCUUUAGAAUUUUGAUAAAGUGGAUGGAUACUAUGUUUAAUGAAAUUAUUUAAAAUAUUCGCCUCUGUUAUUUAAUAUAUAAAACUUUCUUUCUUCAAUUUGAUUCUCAAUUUGAUUUCAAUUUCAUUCAAAAUUUUUAAUGACGAAAUAUUCAAC
rnacentral:misc_RNA from 1 species